ACGGAGGGUGCGAGCGUUAAUCGGAAUCACUGGGCGUAAAGCGCACGUAGGCGGUGUCGUAAGUCGGAUGUGAAAGCCCUCGGCUCAACCGGGGAACUGCAUUCGAUACUGCGAUGCUUGAGUGCCGGAGAGGGUGGCGGAAUUCCAGGUGUAGCAGUGAAAUGCGUAGAGAUGUGGAGGAACACCAGUGGCGAAGGCGGCCCCCUGGGCGGUAACUGACGCUGAGGUGCGAAAGCGUGGGGAGCAAACAG
rnacentral:rRNA from 1 species